rnacentral:rRNA from 1 species
CCUACGGGAGGCAGCAGUGAGGAAUAUUGGUCAAUGGGCGCGAGCCUGAACCAGCCAAGUCGCGUGAAGGAUGACUGCCCUACGGGUUGUAAACUUCUUUUAUAAGGGAGUAAAGUGAGGCACGUGUGCCUUUUUGUAUGUACUUUAUGAAUAAGGAUCGGCUAACUCCGUGCCAGCAGCCGCGGUAAUACGGAGGAUCCGAGCGUUAUCCGGAUUUAAUGGGUUUAAAGGGAGCGUAGAUGGGUUGUUAAGUCAGUUGUGAAAGUUUGCGGCUCAACCGUAAAAUUGCAAUUGGUACUGGCAGUCUUGAGUACAGUGGAGGUAGGCGGAAUUCGUGGUGUAGCGGUGAAAUGCGUAGAGAUCACGAAGAACUCCGAUUGCGAAGGCAGCUUACUAAACUGCCACUGACACUGAUGCUCGAAAGUGUGGGUAUCAAACAGGAUUAGAUACCCGGGUAGUC